rnacentral:lncRNA from 1 species
UGCGACAUGGAUGCGAAUGUGGCUGCCUGACACAGAUUUGGUGGCAGGAGCAUCAUCAACCUGAACAAUGCAUCUCUGGCUUUCUAGUACACAGGAGGUUUUGGAUGCCACAUCUCUCUUCCUUCCAGCGGUCCAUCCAGGACUUUUAGAAACCUCUUCAGAGGGACAGACUUGGUGUGUGAAUCCCAACAGGGACAAGGAGAAAGAGUGACAGCUGAUGUCAGGUAUGUAUACAUGCAUGUGCCAUGGGACACAUGUGGAGGUCACCUUCUAGGACUCUGUGUUCUCCUUCAACCUUGUGGUGUUGGGGAUGGAAGUCAGACCCUAAAGCUUGACAGUUCGUGUGUUGAUCAUAUGAUCAUCCUGAUCAUAAUAGGGGCUGAGACCUUUGGGAGAUACAGGGAAGAAGAAAGGCCAAGUGAGGACAUAUCCAAAAGAAGAUCAUCUGCAGAAACCAACAUUUCCAACACCUUAGUCAUACUUUACAGAUGUCAGGCCUGUAAGAGAUUUACUGUCUGUUGAAUAAAACCCCCUGACUGGUAUUAUAUGUAAUCAUCUGAAUGCUGUCCUGAGAUCUUCAUGGUACAAAAAGUCAUGUAAGAGUAUAUCUCAGCAUGUCAGCCAUUCCAUCUGACUACCGCAGCCUACUGCAACUGACUCAUCAUGACCUUAGGUGAGACUAGCAGAAGAGCCACCCAGCUAACCAACAGGAUUAGAGAAUAGCAAAGCAAAGAUAUACUGUUUUAAGUCAUGAUUUGGGGGUGUUAUGAGCAGGAGGUAAUUGAUGCAGUUACAACAGAGGUUAGAAAACAAGAAAGGAAACUUCUCUGGGCUGAAGAAUGACAUAUCCUUUUAUGUAUUCAGCAGGAGGAAUGUCUUUAAGGUAUUAUAUAAGUAGAUGAAUCAUAAUGCAUCCAGAACCCUUAAAAGAAAAUCCUACAAGCUUCAGAAGGAGAAGGAACCCUAAGUCACUGGAUGCGUGUAAGAAAAGAAGCUGUCAUCCAAGUCUGGAGAUAAAAUAAUUUUGAAUUUGGCAUCUUAUAUCCAGAACAACACUCAUUUAUGUAUGAGAAUGUGAUUUAAAAAAGGCUUUUUGGACCUGCUAAGCUCUGAGGGAUUACCGUUUACAAGUGCUCUGUGACAGACCGCACUAAGGGUAUGCUGCAGCAAUUGGAAACCUGGGUCAGAAAUGAGUAACAUCUCUCAUUGAGUUGUAAGAACAUCAAUGAGUUGUAAGAAUCGAUAGGUAAAUAAACCAAUGAAACAUGUAAACUAUCCCAAGCUUUCCUUUCUUAAGUGCAACAAGUGUAAUCAUGUGACAUAGUUCAACUAAUGCUGUAGCACAGAUGUCAUCACUCCCCUUUUAGACUUGGCUUCCAAAAUGCCUACCUACUCUCCAAAUUCUUCAUCGCCCAUCAUGUUUUACCUCCAGUUGCUGUGGGAAUGAAUGGGUUCAAUCUGGGGUGUCUCAUAGAUGCUUAAGCAGCAAUAGUCAUGCUUCUGAUGCUGCUUGGAGUUUAUAUCCAAGGGCUGUGGCAUCGCUGGUGCUUGGCUGGCUAUUCAGGACUUUCACACAAGACUGGGAAAAAGCGAACAACUCUUUGAAGUUUGCCACUCAGGAAUACAGUAGUUUAGAAGGAUUUCUUUAUUAUCAGCCUGGCACUGUGUAUUCGGGGUGAGGGAGAAGAGAGGAAGGGAGACAGGGAGGAAGAAGGCAAGGGGUGGGAAGAAGGGAGAGAGACAGACAAAGAGAGACACAGAGAGACAGAGGGGCACACACAGAGUGUCUAUUGAGAGACUGAAGCCAUUCACUCAUUUAUAUAUUAGGUAAUGACAUACUAAGUGUGGCAUACCUGGGUAUUGGCUAUGUAUUGGACUCUGGAAAACGAUAGGCUUUGUGCCUGGAAUAAAGAGGACAGUCAAAUACAUACAUAAGAUCAUAAAAAUCUAGAUUGUUGCUAGCAUCAGGAAGAAACUACCCAGAGAAUGUUCUUUGGGGAUGAGGGCCAUGAACAACUUUUCGGAAACAUUAAAGCCCUUCAGGAAGCUCAGUCAGACUGUCAGAGGCCUUUCAAAUAGAAACCCUGACUAAGUCAGUGAAGAUACAGGAGAAUUUAGGAUAUUUUUGCAGUUUAUUAAAAUGUGAAGUCGAGAAGAAAAUGUCUUUUACAGGGCUUAGCCUAUGGAAGUGAUGUAACAACAUCAUUAAGAAGAGAACCGGAAGACAAAGACACAGCUAUUAGAAUGGAACACGUGCAGGGACCGCUGGCCUUGGUGUUGAUGAAUUGGCGGAGCAGAGAGAGCUCUCCUACAUCUUGGUUAGGAACAUGAAAUGAGACAAUCAAUUUGGAUAAAGGUCUGGCUGUUUUUGUAAAACUAAGACAGAUGUAUAAUCUGUCACUCGACACAGUGAUUUUGCUUCUAGGUCCUGACACAAGGGGACAAAAAGACAUAUAGUCGAUGUUGAUUGCAGAUUUAUCCAAAAUAACUCUGAACUGGAAACAAGCCUUGUGAUUAUCAACAAGAUAAACAAAGUACAGUGUGUUCAGCCAGUGGGAUACUGCAGCACCAGAAAGGAUAAACUACUGAUUCAUGCACGCAUGGAACAAAUUCAGAUUAUUUUAUGCCUUACAAU